rnacentral:rRNA from 1 species
UACGAAGGGGGCUAGCGUUGCUCGGAAUUACUGGGCGUAAAGCGCACGUAGGCGGCUUCUUAAGUCGGUGGUGAAAUCCUGGAGCUCAACUCCAGAACUGCCUUCGAUACUGGGAGCUCGAGUCCGGGAGAGGUGAGUGGAACUGCGAGUGUAGAGGUGAAAUUCGUAGAUAUUCGCAAGAACACCAGUGGCGAAGGCGGCUCACUGGCCCGGUACUGACGCUGAGGUGCGAAAGCGUGGGGAGCAACA